UACGUAGGGGGCAAGCGUUGUCCGGAAUCAUUGGGCGUAAAGAGCGCGUAGGCGGUCCGGUAAGUCCGCUCUGAAAGUCCGGGGCUCAACCCCGGGAGGCGGGCGGAUACUGUCGGGCUAGAGUCCGGAAGAGGCGAGUGGAAUUCCUGGUGUAGCGGUGAAAUGCGCAGAUAUCAGGAGGAACACCAAUGGCGAAGGCAGCUCGCUGGGACGGUACUGACGCUGAGACGCGAAAGCGUGGGGAGCGAACAGG
rnacentral:rRNA from 1 species